rnacentral:rRNA from 1 species
CAGUCGAGCGGAAACGAGUUAUCUGAACCUUCGGGGGACGAUAACGGCGUCGAGCGGCGGACGGGUGAGUAAUGCCUAGGAAAUUGCCCUGAUGUGGGGGAUAACCAUUGGAAACGAUGGCUAAUACCGCAUGAUGCCUACGGGCCAAAGAGGGGGACCUUCGGGCCUCUCGCGUCAGGAUAUGCCUAGGUGGGAUUAGCUAGUUGGUGAGGUAAGGGCUCACCAAGGCGACGAUCCCUAGCUGGUCUGAGAGGAUGAUCAGCCACACUGGAACUGAGACACGGUCCAGACUCCUACGGGAGGCAGCAGUGGGGAAUAUUGCACAAUGGGCGCAAGCCUGAUGCAGCCAUGCCGCGUGUGUGAAGAAGGCCUUCGGGUUGUAAAGCACUUUCAGUCGUGAGGAAGGUAGUGUAGUUAAUAGCUGCAUUAUUUGACGUUAGCGACAGAAGAAGCACCGGCUAACUCCGUGCCAGCAGCCGCGGUAAUACGGAGGGUGCGAGCGUUAAUCGGAAUUACUGGGCGUAAAGCGCAUGCAGGUGGUUUGUUAAGUCAGAUGUGAAAGCCCGGGGCUCAACCUCGGAAUUGCAUUUGAAACUGGCAGACUAGAGUACUGUAGAGGGGGGUAGAAUUUCAGGUGUAGCGGUGAAAUGCGUAGAGAUCUGAAGGAAUACCGGUGGCGAAGGCGGCCCCCUGGACAGAUACUGACACUCAGAUGCGAAAGCGUGGGGAGCAAACAGGAUUAGAUACCCUGGUAGUCCACGCCGUAAACGAUGUCUACUUGGAGGUUGUGGCCUUGAGCCGUGGCUUUCGGAGCUAACGCGUUAAGUAGACCGCCUGGGGAGUACGGUCGCAAGAUUAAAACUCAAAUGAAUUGACGGGGGCCCGCACAAGCGGUGGAGCAUGUGGUUUAAUUCGAUGCAACGCGAAGAACCUUACCUACUCUUGACUUCCAGAGAACUUUCCAAAGAUGGAUUGGUGCCUUCGGAA